UGGAAAGGUGAUCACUGUUUAGGAUUUCCAUGGCACAUGGCACAUGGCUAGCUCCAAGAAUGGGCAGUCAGGUCUAUCUACCUGAUAGGAGGUUCUGUCAGCCUUCUCUGGGAACUGUGAUCAGCCUAAGAAGGCAGACUCUAAAGAAGGCAGACUUUAAGACCUGACACCAGUAACGCCCAUGAAACAGCCCAGCCAGACCAUCCUGUGGUGAAGCCCACCUUCUCCAAGAAGAGUCCACCCACAGCCUUCAAGCUCCCAAUCAGCUCUUAGCUUUCCCACUCUUAAACAUGAAACAACAAGC
rnacentral:lncRNA from 1 species